UCCUGGAUGCUGGAUUUCUGACUAGAUUCAGCAACAUGAAUUUUUAUUUUUUUACAAGAUUCACUCAGCAACCAGGGCAGAAGUGGAUGUGAUUUUAGAUCCCAGCAGCUAUGAAAAUUUACAUGGAAUUUCUUUCCCCACUCUGCACUCCAGAAUAUGACUCCCUGCACUGACCACAUCUGAAAUCUGCUUCCCAGCUUUCAGCCCCUCCCACUUGGAAGUCACACCAGUGUGUCCCCCCGAGCACAUUGCAGGGCAGAAAGCCAGGAAAAUCCCACUAAAGGCUGAUUGCCUGAACUAUGACUGAUCCAGAUUCCCACUGAAGCCCAGGAGGGGUUUUGCACUGAAACAGCAGUUUGGUUUUAGAGGACUUUUUUGAAGAGCAGACCCAAAGCCAGGAGAAUGCAUGGCCCUGCAAUCACCCAGCAGCCAGCACUGAUGAGUGAUGGACAAUAAUAGUGACUCUGCUUUCCAAUCUCCAGGACUUUCUCCUCAGCACGUUCAGAAUUUGACAACACUGCUGGCAUCUCUGGGAGAGGUGGCCCAUGAGAUGGACACAGGAGCAGCAUGUUAGGGGUGUGAUUAUUGCUUGUGAAAUGGAAGAAAAUUCUCCAUCUUCCUAACUGGCAGAUGUAUGGGCACAUUUUCCAUCAAAGCAGUUAUUAAAAUGUUCUGUUUUCCCUUCAAAACCCGUGAGAUAAAGUCAUUCAUGUAGAAAAGCCAGUUGUUCCCCUUAUAAUGGAAUUUAACUGAAUUAUGACCAUUUACAUGUAAGAGAUUCAUGCUGAAACCCUCAGAACUGGAAGGAUCUGCAGACCAACGUGGUCUCUUCAGUCUGCAUUAACACCCUCAGAGUUGGCUUGUGUGAAAAAAACUCAUCUUGGCAGGA